AUGAAUAAAGCAUUACAUCAUCCAAAUACAAGCAAGGUCCGACUACGGAACCAAAAUAAAAGAAGACUACCCCAAAAUCUACACAAAUCCCCGAUCGACCCCAACUGGGCUCCACUACUGAUCAAUUGGAAAAUGGAACAACAUAAAGAACACAAUCUUCAUCGAGCUCCUCCUUUGAGCUUGGUUGCGUCAUCUGCACGGUUCAACGGCACCUGCAAGCUGGUUUUGGAAGUAUCUGUGAGUCACGGGGACCCAGCAAUCUCACACCCUCGCGAUGAAAACUAUUUAAGCUUAUGGGAAGGGUAA
rnacentral:rRNA from 1 species